CUUCCUCUGUCUCUCUCGCCCUGGGUUCCGUGCCCCUGGAUCACCAGCUGCCAUGUCCUGAGGACACUUGGGCAGCCUGUGGGGAGAUCUACAUGACAAAGAAACAAGACCUGCCAGCAACCACGAUGAUGACGGAGACAGGGCUAACUUACUCACGCUGUCUUUCUCCAGAUGGGCUUUCUUCUUCCCACGGGAAAUCGUUCUUGGAGUCACUGCUGUUGCCUAAAAUAUAUGCAAAUGCUACCUUCACUGCUCCUGGCACAGGCAGAAACCUGUUGCCUUUCUGGAGAGUUUCUGCUCCUUGUUGAAGCCUCAGAUUAAUCAUUACCCUCCCAAUGAAGGAUUCCUUGGCUGCUGUAGACUAUUGUUAUAGAAAACAUGUUUUAUCAAAUAUGAUGGUCUCCAAGUGUAUCUCCUCAUCUAGACUCUGAGCACUUUGGUGUACAGGUGUUUCGUGUGUGUUUGAUCUCAUUUGUGUUCUCAGUUCCUCUCCAUCAUUGGUACCCAAACAGUAUUUGCAAAGCCAGAAGGUGAUCGAAGGGAUGGCUACCAUUAGAGUGAUUUUACCUUAGAGAUGGAGGCAUACCAAGAAAAAUGAUCAACACAGGAAAACCAAAAUUUUCUACCCAGAAGAAAACCUGAGUAAAUUCCUCCAUCUGAAUUUCUAAUCACUAUUUGAAAAUGGCUAAAUCACCAUAU
rnacentral:lncRNA from 1 species